UCAUCACAUCCUGGGGCUGUAGUAGGUCCCAAGGGUUGGGCUGUUCGCCCAUUAAAGUGGUACGCGAGCUGGGUUCAGAACGUCGUGAGACAGUUCGGUCCCUAUCCGUCGCAGGCGUAGGAAAUUUGAGAAGACCUGUCCUUAGUACGAGAGGACCGGGAUGGACGUACCUCUGGUGUACCAGUUGUUCUGCCAAGGGCAUGGCUGGGUAGCUAUGUACGGAAUGGAUAAGCGCUGAAAGCAUCUAAGCGCGAAGCCAACUUCAAGAUAAGAUUUCCCACCGCAAGGGUAAGACCCCAGAAAGACUAUCUGGUUGAUAGGUCGAAGGUGUAAGUGCAGCAAUGUAUUUAGCUUAUCGAUACUAAUAGGUCGAGGACUUGACCAAAUU
rnacentral:rRNA from 1 species